AGACCCCUGCCGUGUUCGUGAUGCGAAACAGUUUUGAGCCAACAGAAGACAAGAGGGGGCCGCUAUCCUCCGGGGCUGUAGUAACCCGCAGGGGUGAGGCAGAAACCAGGAGGUCAGGUCACCCACCUGCGAAAGCAGGUUCAAAACUGCAGCACACGGCAUAGCGGGGGUACA
rnacentral:other from 1 species